rnacentral:rRNA from 1 species
CGCUGAGGUGGGAGGAGAGGCCGCGACGACCACGCGCAGGAGCAGCAGAGGCGGCGGCGACCAUGCGCAGGAGCAGCAGAGGCGGCCGCUGCGGGAUCGGGGAAGGGGGGAGAAAAUUUGGGGCGUGAGCGCGGCGGCGGCUGCGGCAACCCUUGCCGAUGGAGUUAAUUGCAUAGAAGUACCACAAUUCGGGCAUCACAUGCAGAUUGGUACCAUGAUUGCUAAUUUUUACGUGUCAGUACCAACAUUGGUCUAAGUUUUUGCAAAUUAGGCUAAAACGCGUAUUUAUACGUAUUGACGGUGUAUCUGACCGAUGGGGCCCGCCCGUCAGGUGCCGACGUGGCAUGUUUUUUGCAGAAAACCCCCUUAUGUUAUAUGUAAUCACAAAAAUACCCAAAUUUUUU